CCUACGGGAGGCUGCAGUGAGGAAUAUUGGUCAAUGGCCGAAAGGCUGAACCAGCCAAGUCGCGUGAGGGAAGACGGACCUACGGGUUGUAAACCUCUUUUGUCGGGGAGCAAAGCGAUUCACGUGUGACUCAUUGAGAGUACCCUAAGAAAAAGCAUCGGCUAACUCCGUGCCAGCAGCCGCGGUAAUACGGGGGAUGCGAGCGUUAUCCGGCUUUAUUGGGUUUAAAGGGUGCGCAGGCGGAGGUGCAAGUCAGCGGUCAAAUUGCGGGGUUAAACCCCGUACUGCCGUUGAAACUGCAUGCCUUGAGUGAGCGAGAAGUAUGCGGAAUGCGUGGUGUAGCGGUGAAAUGCAUAGAUAUCACGCAGAACUCCGAUUGCGAAGGCAGCAUACCGGCGCGCAACUGACGCGCAUGCACGAAAGCGUGGGUAUCGAACAGGAUUAGAUACCCGAGUAGUC
rnacentral:rRNA from 1 species